GACGAACGCUGGCGGCGUGCUUAACACAUGCAAGUCGAACGGAAAGGCCCUGCUUUUGUGGGGUGCUCGAGUGGCGAACGGGUGAGUAACACGUGAGUAACCUGCCCUUGACUUUGGGAUAACUUCAGGAAACUGGGGCUAAUACCGGAUAGGAGCUCCUGCUGCAUGGUGGGGGUUGGAAAGUUUCGGCGGUUGGGGAUGGACUCGCGGCUUAUCAGCUUGUUGGUGGGGUAGUGGCUUACCAAGGCUUUGACGGGUAGCCGGCCUGAGAGGGUGACCGGCCACAGUGGGACUGAGAUACGGCCCAGACUCCUACGGGAGGCAGCAGUGGGGAAUAUUGCACAAUGGGCGGAAGCCUGAUGCAGCAACGCCGCGUGCGGGAUAACGGCCUUCGGGUUGUAAACCGCUUUCGCCUGUGACGAAGCGUGAGUGACGGUAAUGGGUAAAGAAGCACCGGCUAACUACGUG
rnacentral:rRNA from 1 species